CAGGAUGAACGCUAGCGACAGGCCUAACACAUGCAGGUCGAGGGGCAGCACAAGGAGCAAUCUGAGGUGGCGACCGGCGCACGGGUGAGUAACACGUAUGCAACCUGCCUGUAAGCGGGGAAUAACCCGUUGAAAGACGGACUAAUACCGCAUAAUACUAAAUUACUGCAUGGUAAUUUAUUUAAACAUUUAUGGCUUACAGAUGGGCAUGCGCAUGAUUAGCUAGUUGGAGAGGUAACGGCUCCCCAAGGCAACGAUCAUUAGGGGUUCUGAGAGGAAGGUCCCCCACACUGGUACUGAGACACGGACCAGACUCCUACGGGAGGCAGCAGUGAGGAAUAUUGGUCAAUGGACGAGAGUCUGAACCAGCCAAGUCGCGUGCAGGAAGAAUGUCCCUAUGGAUUGUAAACUGCUUUUGCAGGGGAAUAAAGUGCAUCACGUGUGAUGUUUUGUAUGUACUCUGCGAAUAAGGAUCGGCUAACUCCGUGCCAGCAGCGGC
rnacentral:rRNA from 1 species